GUGAUUCGUCACACUAUCAUUAACUGAAUCCAUAGGUUAAUGAGGCGAACCGGGGGAACUGAAACAUCUAAGUACCCCGAGGAAAAGAAAUCAACCGAGAUUCCCCCAGUAGCGGCGAGCGAACGGGGAGGAGCCCAGAGCCUGAAUCAGUGUGUGUGUUAGUGGAAGCGUCUGGAAAGGCGCGCGAUACAGGGUGACAGCCCCGUACACAAAAAUGCACAUGCUGUGAGCUCGAUGAGUAGGGCGGGACACGUGGUAUCCUGUCUGAAUAUGGGGGGACCAUCCUCCAAGGCUAAAUACUCCUGACUGACCGAUAGUGAACCAGUACCGUGAGGGAAAGGCGAAAAGAACCCCGGCGAGGGGAGUGAAAAAGAACCUGAAACCGUGUACGUACAAGCAGUGGGAGCACAGAGCAAUCUGUGUGACUGCGUACCUUUUGUAUAAUGGGUCAGCGACUUAUAUUCUGUAGCAAGGUUAACCGAAUAGGGGAGCCGAAGGGAAACCGAGUCUUAACUGGGCGUUAAGUUGCAGGGUAUAGACCCGAAACCCGGUGAUCUAGCCAUGGGCAGGUUGAAGGUUGGGUAACACUAACUGGAGGACCGAACCGACUAAUGUUGAAAAAUUAGCGGAUGACUUGUGGCUGGGGGUGAAAGGCCAAUCAAACCGGGAGAUAGCUGGUUCUCCCCGAAAGCUAUUUAGGUAGCGCCUCGUGAAUUCAUCUCCGGGGGUAGAGCACUGUUUCGGCAAGGGGGUCAUCCCGACUUACCAACCCGAUGCAAACUGCGAAUACCGGAGAAUGUUAUCACGGGAGACACACGGCGGGUGCUAACGUCCGUCGUGAAGAGGGAAACAACCCAGACCGCCAGCUAAGGUCCCAAAGUCAUGGUUAAGUGGGAAACGAUGUGGGAAGGCCCAGACAGCCAGGAUGUUGGCUUAGAAGCAGCCAUCAUUUAAAGAAAGCGUAAUAGCUCACUGGUCGAGUCGGCCUGCGCGGAAGAUGUAACGGGGCUAAACCAUGCACCGAAGCUGCGGCAGCGACACUAUGUGUUGUUGGGUAGGGGAGCGUUCUGUAAGCCUGUGAAGGUGUGCUGUGAGGCAUGCUGGAGGUAUCAGAAGUGCGAAUGCUGACAUAAGUAACGAUAAAGCGGGUGAAAAGCCCGCUCGCCGGAAGACCAAGGGUUCCUGUCCAACGUUAAUCGGGGCAGGGUGAGUCGACCCCUAAGGCGAGGCCGAAAGGCGUAGUCGAUGGGAAACAGGUUAAUAUUCCUGUACUUGGUGUUACUGCGAAGGGGGGACGGAGAAGGCUAUGUUGGCCGGGCGACGGUUGUCCCGGUUUAAGCGUGUAGGCUGGUUUUCCAGGCAAAUCCGGAAAAUCAAGGCUGAGGCGUGAUGACGAGGCACUACGGUGCUGAAGCAACAAAUGCCCUGCUUCCAGGAAAAGCCUCUAAGCAUCAGGUAACAUCAAAUCGUACCCCAAACCGACACAGGUGGUCAGGUAGAGAAUACCAAGGCGCUUGAGAGAACUCGGGUGAAGGAACUAGGCAAAAUGGUGCCGUAACUUCGGGAGAAGGCACGCUGAUAUGUAGGUGAAGCGACUUGCUCGUGGAGCUGAAAUCAGUCGAAGAUACCAGCUGGCUGCAACUGUUUAUUAAAAACACAGCACUGUGCAAACACGAAAGUGGACGUAUACGGUGUGACGCCUGCCCGGUGC
rnacentral:rRNA from 1 species